UACGAAGGGGGCUAGCGUUGUUCGGAAUCACUGGGCGUAAAGGGCGCGUAGGCGGCUUUUCAAGUCGGGGGUGAAAGCCUGCGGCUCAACCACAGAAUUGCCUUCGAUACUGUUAGGCUUGAGACCGGAAGAGGUGAGUGGAACUGCGAGUGUAGAGGUGAAAUUCGUAGAUAUUGGGAGGAACACCAGUGGCGAAGGCGGCUCACUGGACCGGUACUGACGCUGAGGCGCGAAAGCGUGGGGAGCAAACAGG
rnacentral:rRNA from 1 species